UCCUUGUUUCUCUUCUCUCUGACUGUCUUGGUGACCAUAGCUCCCCGUUUUAUACAGCACCAUGUCCAAAGCAUCCCUUCUGCUGCUCUGGGCUGCCCUGGUACUGACCAGCCAUGGACAUGGAGCCAUGAUGAGAAAGGAAGAUUCGUGGAAGCCACUGAGCAACCCCAGAAACAGAGAACUGUUUUUCAGAAGCCUUCAGGCCUAUUUUAGGGGCAGAGGACUCGAUCUUGGGAGACUUCCAAAUACCUUCUCCAUGAAUGAGGACCCCAGACCUCUCUCUCUGCAGGCAGAACAUAUGGCUUCUGCAUUUGCAGACUACGAGGAGCACAAAAACUCGCUCCCUAAUUCCCACAAGGGCUGAGAGCCUCUGAGCCCAGGUGUCACCAUGUUACAGCUACAGACUAGCUUUUCAGCAGAAAAUUCAACUACGGCUGAAGUCUUGUGUGUGUUUUCUCUUCCAUAUUAGUCAAUAGUUAUUUUACAUUUCCAGAUUUUACAUGUAAACAAUUGGACCUUUAGAACAUAUGAUACUGACAUGCAUAUUUCAUGUAUUUUCCCCUUUAAUGACCAUAAUUAUUGAGUGGAAGAGUGCAUGUAUUUGAAGGAGUUACAAAAAUACUACAGGUGAAAUGAAACGAUUAUUUUCCAAAUUAGAUAUUUUCUUGAAGCUUGAUUUAAAGUCAUCUUUUAUAUUUAUUACCUAUUAUCACACAAUAUUUUUUAUUUAAACAAGAUGUGUUUACUUUUAUUGCAGUGUAUUAUACAUAAUAGGGAUUCAGACAUGUUUACUACAGGGAUUCUGAUUUAGGAUUUGUCUUUUGUUUUCCUUCUAAAGAGAUGAUGCAGUCCCACCUUUAGCUUGUGCUAUUGAAAGACCUCAUCCCCUACUGAAUGAGGGUGAUAAACAUCCAAGUGGAGUUGAAAUAGAAAACAAACAGAUAGGAUUCUAGCUGCUACAAGAUCUCUGAGAGAUGCUUUAAUGCUUCUUUCAAAGCUAAAAACUGUCCCAUGUCAAAAAUCCCAUCUUCACCCUAGCCUUACUUUAAAUACGAGUCACUCAACAAGGGGCAGUAGCAAAAGGUGAAUUCUCCACUUCUCCAACCAAGCCAGUCUCCUUGUCAUAGCUCUUACUGAUCCAUUUGGAUUCCAUAUUUUCAUUUGAUAUAGCUACUUUUCCUGUGUUUUAUGAAUACUUACAAUGCUUUCUAGAGAUCCAAUCAAGGGACAUUGUCCCAGAAUCCACAUAGCACUGUUCUGGUAUCAUUAAUCUGUGUAUUUCAAAACAUUUUACUGUAGCUUUUUGAGGACUC
rnacentral:lncRNA from 1 species